rnacentral:rRNA from 1 species
GAUGAACGCUGGCGGCGUGCCUAAUACAUGCAAGUCGAGCGAACAGACGAGGAGCUUGCUCCUCUGACGUUAGCGGCGGACGGGUGAGUAACACGUGGAUAACCUACCUAUAAGACUGGGAUAACUUCGGGAAACCGGAGCUAAUACCGGAUAAUAUAUUGAACCGCAUGGUUCAAUAGUGAAAGACGGUUUUGCUGUCACUUAUAGAUGGAUCCGCGCCGCAUUAGCUAGUUGGUAAGGUAACGGCUUACCAAGGCAACGAUGCGUAGCCGACCUGAGAGGGUGGUCGCCCACCCUGGAACUGAGACACGGUCCAGACUCCUACGGGAGGCAGCAGUAGGGAAUCUUCCGCAAUGGGCGAAAGCUUGACGGAGCAACGCCGCGUGAGUGAUGAAGGUCUUCGGAUCGUAAAGCUCUGUUAUUAGGGAAGAACAAAUGUGUAAGUAACUAUGCACGUCUUGACGGUACCUAAUCAGAAAGCCACGGCUAACUACGUG